GACGAACCGUGCGAACGUUGUUCGGAAUCACUGGGCUUAAAGGGCGCGUAGGCGGUCAAUCCAGUCGGGGGUGAAAUCUUGCAGCUUAACUGUAAAAGUGCCUUCGGUACUGAUUGACUCGAGGGAGGUAGGGGCAGGUGGAACUUCCAGUGGAGCGGUGAAAUGUGUUGAUAUUGGAAGGAACGCCGGUGGCGAAAGCGACCUGCUGGAUCUCUUCUGACGCUGAGGCGCGAAAGCUAGGGGAGCAAACGGG
rnacentral:rRNA from 1 species